rnacentral:rRNA from 1 species
UACAGAGGGGGCAAGCGUUAUUCGGAAUUAUUGGGCGUAAAGCGCGUGUAGGCGGCCUAGCAAGUCAGACGUGAAAUCCCCCGGCUUAACCUGGGAACUGCGUCUGAUACUGGGAGGCUUGAGUAUGGGAGAGGGAUGUAGAAUUCCAGGUGUAGCGGUGAAAUGCGUAGAUAUCUGGAGGAAUACCGGUGGCGAAGGCGGCAUCCUGGACCAUAACUGACGCUGAGGCGCGAAAGCUAGGGGAGCAAACGGG